rnacentral:rRNA from 1 species
AGCGAACGCUGGCGGCAGGCCUAACACAUGCAAGUCGAACGAAGUCUUCGGACUUAGUGGCGGACGGGUGAGUAACACGUGGGAACGUGCCCUUUGGUACGGAAUAACUCAGGGAAACUUGAGCUAAUACCGUAUGUGCCCUUCGGGGGAAAGAUUUAUCGCCAUUGGAGCGGCCCGCGUCUGAUUAGCUAGUUGGUGAGGUAAAGGCUCACCAAGGCGACGAUCAGUAGCUGGUCUGAGAGGAUGAUCAGCCACAUUGGGACUGAGACACGGCCCAAACUCCUACGGGAGGCAGCAGUGGGGAAUCUUGCGCAAUGGGCGAAAGCCUGACGCAGCCAUGCCGCGUGAAUGAUGAAGGUCUUAGGAUUGUAAAAUUCUUUCACCGGGGACGAUAAUGACGGUACCCGGAGAAGAAGCCCCGGCUAACCUCGUGCCAGCCGCCGCCGUAAGAC